AAAAAGAAGACUUUUUAAUUAAUGACUAAUUGAAGUGUGUUUUGUCCUAAUGCACUGGCAGAUUAUCAGAUUGUUUCUUUAAACAUCGAAUGACCUGAAAUAUUUUAUUCAUACUGUGAGACUUGAAGAUCUGACCAGAGGCGAGGCUUCUUCUGAAAUUGAAAGGCAUGUUAAAGGGAGAGAUGUGAACGAGUUGAGUGGCCCUGUUCAAGAGGGUCUACCUCAUACACUUGAGUUUGUGCUCUCAAUCGCUGUAGACUCGGAUCAAUAGCACUGCGGAAGCGAGAGAGAAAGAACACCUACAGAAUCAGCAGAACGAGGUUAAACUCGCCCGGAGAGAGGCGAAAAACGUUAAGUGGAGUCUGGAGCUUCGCCAGCAUGCAGUGAACCAGAGAAGUGGAGAGACGUCCCAGCGGCCCACAGCUCUGACAACACCCUUCUAUCCCCCUCUGAAAUCUUUAUUUACUGCCCCCGCACUACUGCUCCCUCGCUGGGGCAAUUAAAGCAUCGUUGUGUCAGACGGUGAGGCGGCGCACCUUUAUGAGGAGUGUCUGUGAAAUAAAGUCAAACAGGACUGUGGAAUGACACAAGGAAAACCAUCCCGGCUAGUCCAAACAUGGGAGCGAUUCUCAGAUUUCAGACCCCCACCUUGUCUUUUGUGCCGAGUUCAGUGAGGCUCCUGGUUAGAAAUGUACACACGUCUAAUUUGAGUUAGAAGAUCUGUGAAUAACCCGAAAGGGAUCAAAUUAAAAUUCCAAGACGGGUGGAAAAAAAGCGAUAUGGGGUUUGAAAGUGGCCCCUGCUUCUUUAAGCUGGAUUUAAGUGAUCAAAGUUCCAUAUGAGGCAGCCAUUGGUGGUAUUGAGUUACUCUAAUGGCUGCCAUGUGCUACUGCCGACGGGCCCGAUCUGCGGACGUCUCAAGGGUGUCGGGCGCAAGACAGUUGUAAAAAGAGGCUUUACAAUAGAGAGAGCGGCAAAAAACCAGAUGCAUGGUGCACUUUCAGACCUCGCUCGCUGGAGAUACUCUGCAUUUUUUUCCGAAUUAGCUCCAGAUUUUUUGAAAGCAUCGAUCAAGGCGUCCGGCGGGUCUCUCAAGACCGUGCCACCCGACAGCGGCCCCCUCUCUAUUGCUUAUUUACUGAUGCGUGGCUUCCCCAUUCCCACUAAACUGCAGGAGACACAAGUGACAAUAAAAGUCAAACACUCGGUGGUUGCCGGAGUCCUGGCUGGUUAUUAGUAUGUAAAUGAAAUCAUCACAGCUGUUCUAUGCACGGAGAGGGGGAGAGAGGAGACAACGAACCCUGCAUUCUGAUGCUGUCUCCUGAACAACCAUCAGGCGCUGGCCACCUCUUCCAUACCCUGCAGUCAAGCA
ensembl:lncRNA